AGUGAACGCUGGCGGUAGGCCUAACACAUGCAAGUCGAACGGCAGCACAGUAAGAGCUUGCUCUUACGGGUGGCGAGUGGCGGACGGGUGAGGAAUACAUCGGAAUCUACUUUUUCGUGGGGGAUAACGUAGGGAAACUUACGCUAAUACCGCAUACGACCUACGGGUGAAAGCAGGGGAUCUUCGGACCUUGCGCGAUUGAAUGAGCCGAUGUCGGAUUAGCUAGUUGGCGGGGUAAAGGCCCACCAAGGCGACGAUCCGUAGCUGGUCUGAGAGGAUGAUCAGCCACACUGGAACUGAAACACGGUCCAGACUCCUACGGGAGGCAGCAGUGGGGAAUAUUGCACAAUGGGCGCAAGCCUGAUCCAGCCCUACCGCGUGGGUGAAGAAGGCCUUCGGGUUGUAAAGCCCUUUUGUUGGGAAAGAAAAGCAGCAGGUUAAUACCCCGCUGUUCUGACGGUACCCAAAGAAUAAGCACCGGCUAACUUCGUG
rnacentral:rRNA from 1 species